GGAUAGAGGAAGAAAAGGUCAGCAUCAUAACCAUAUCACGCAUCAAAGAUCCAAGAAAGGAGUUUUGCCAGUAUAAAGUUGGGGAUUUGGUGAAAGCCAGCUGCCAUGGCUUUUCUGGCGUGCAUCCCGCCAAGAUCUUAGAUGAUGGAGCUGAUGCCUGGUAGUGGGAUCUACAUUUAUCCCAAAGAUAUACAAGCUUUAUAUAAGCCAAAAAAAAAACCAACAAGUGGAACUUUUCAGGAAGGGGAACCUAACUGGUGCAAAUGAAAAGACCAUUUUAAACACUAUUCCUGACGAUGCCGGGAUUCAGAGGCCAUUGUCAAGUUUUCGAUGAGGACCAAGAUUAGUUCCCAAGUCAGCCUCCAGAACAUGAAACAGACCUAGCUUUUAUACAUUCAGUAAUGUGAGAUAUAUAUAUAUAUAUAUAUAUAUAUAUAUGGGAUUCCCUUCAUAAGGGAUUGUCCAAUUUUUAAUGUGAUAAUAUGUACAAAGAGUUAGUGAUGAAUAUUUUAUUUAUAUUUUUGUGCCAAACUUUAUAAAUGAUUGAUUGUUUGAUGUUUUCCGCCACGCUCAACAAUUUUUCAGUUAUCUGGUGGCACCCAGUUUUUAUUGGUGGAAGAGAGAACCCAGAUACAAUGUACCUUGGAAGAGACCACCGACCUUCCGAAAGUAAACUGGGAAACUUUCUCACUUACCGGCGCGAGCGGGAUUCGAACCCGCGCCGACAGAGGUGAGAGGCCAUGUGAUUUGGAGCGCGAUGCUCUAACCACUCGGCCACCUUUAUAAAUGAAAUUAAUAUACCAAUAAUAGUCGCUGUUUAUAAUCGGUAAUGUCUUAUUAUCCCCAUCUUUUUUGUAACUUUUCCAUAACUUUUGUCGGGUAUAACUUUUUUGUAACUUUUCCAUAACUUUUGUCGGGUAUAACUUUUAUGUAACUUUCUCCAUAACUUUUGUUGGGUAUAACUUUUUUGUAACUUUUCCAUAACUUUUGUCGGGUAUAACUUUUUUGUAACUUUUCCAUAACUUUUGUCGGGUAUAACUUUUAUGUAACUUUCUCCAUAACUUUUGUUGGGUAUAACUUUUUUGUAACUUUUCCAUAACUUUUGUCAGGUAUAACUUUUUUGUAACUUUUCCACAAUUUUUGUUGGGUAUAACUUUUUUGUAACUUUUCCAUAACUUAAGUAUAACUUUUUGAUAACUUUUGUGAAGUAUAACUUUUUUGAAGUAUAACUUUUUGAUAACUUUUAUGCACUUGUUGUAUUCAUGUUGAAAUAAAAGAUGAUAACUUAUA